UAACGCGUGGGUAACCUGCCUCAUACAGGGGGAUAGCAGCUGGAAACGGCUGGUAAUACCGCAUAAGCGCACGGCAUCGCAUGAUGCAGUGUGAAAAACUCCGGUGAUAUAAGAUGGACCCGCGUUGGAUUAGCUAGUUGGUGAGGUAACGGCCCACCAAGGCGACGAUCCAUAGCCGACCUGAGAGGGUGACCGGCCACAUUGGGACUGAGACACGGCCCAA
rnacentral:rRNA from 1 species